rnacentral:rRNA from 1 species
UACGUAGGGGGCAAGCGUUGUCCGGAUUUAUUGGGCGUAAAGCGCGUGUAGGCGGCCUGACAGGUCCGUUGUGAAAACUGGAGGCUCAACCUCCAGACGUCGAUGGAAACCGUCUGGCUAGAGUCCGGAAGAGGAGAGUGGAAUUCCCGGUGUAGCGGUGAAAUGCGCAGAUAUCGGGAAGAACACCCGUGGCGAAGGCGGCUUCCUGGCCUGUUCUUGACGCUGAGGCGCGAAAGCUAGGGGAGCAAACGGG